rnacentral:misc_RNA from 1 species
UUUCCGUAGGUGAACCUGCGGAAGGAUCAUUAUUGUAUAACCGAGGUGCGAGGGCUGUCGCUGACCCGAAAGGUCGUGCACGCCCGAGUGCCCUCACACACAUCCAUCUCACCCCUAUGUGCACCACCGCGUGGGUCCCCCUUUGGCUUGUUCGGAGGGGGGCUUACGUUUUCACACAAACUUUGUAUGCAGUGUAGAAUGUAUUUUUUGUUUUUGCGAUCACGCAAUCAAUACGACUUUCAACAACGGAUCUCUUGGCUCUCGCAUCGAUGAAGAAUGCAGC